GACGAACGCUGGCGGCGUGCCUAAUACAUGCAAGUCGAACGGUCUUUUCUAUGGAAGCUUGCUUCCACUGAGAAGAUAGUGGCGAACGGGUGAGUAACACGUGGGUAACCUGCCCAUAAGAGGGGGAUAACAUCCGGAAACGGGUGCUAAUACCGCAUAGUUUUCUUGAUCGCAUGAUCGAGAAAGGAAAGACGGCCUUUGUGCUGUCGGUUAUGGAUGGACCCGCGGCGUAUUAGUUAGUUGGUGAGGUAACGGCUCACCAAGACGAUGAUACGUAGCCGACCUGAGAGGGUGAUCGGCCACAUUGGGACUGUGACACGGCCCAAACUCCUACGGGAGGCAGCAGUAGGGAAUCUUCCGAAAUGGACGAAAGUCUGACGGAGCAACGCCGCGUGAGUGAAGAAGGUUUUCGGAUCGUAAAACUCUGUUGUCAGAGAAGAACAAGUCGGAGAGUAACUGCUCCGGCCUUGACGGUAUCUGACCAGAAAGCCACGGCUAACUACGUGCCAGCAGCCGCCGUAACAC
rnacentral:rRNA from 1 species